rnacentral:tRNA from 1 species
GGGCUCGUGGCUCAGUUUGGAUAGAGCGACUGGCUUCGGACCAGUAGGUCGAGGGUUCAAAUUGAGGGGACUCCCUCAAGGCGUGAGCGACAUUCACAUAUAGAAUGUGAAGUCACUUGUUAAUUAUUGAGUUAAUAUGCGCUUUGGAGUCUUUUCAGGAAUAUCCCUUCGGGCUCA